AACAAAUAAAAAUUUUGUAGUGGUGAAACAUCAAAAGGAUGCUGGCUUGCACGUCAAACUACUACGCUCUACACAACCAUAUCACCUACCUGAUUACUCUAUUAUCAUCCAUGUUUGACUCGUGUUAAAUUUUAUCUGCAGCUAUAUGUUCAAACUCAACAUACAAUUCAACAUCGACAUUUGAGCUCGAGUCUUUUGAUGAAUCUAAAACAUCUAUUACAUACUUGCUUCUUCAUCAACGAUGGAUAUUGUAUCAAACUGUAUUAGUCUACCAAAUAUGAUAACAGGAUUUCUGUACAACUCACUAAAAGUCCCACUUUUAUCAUCUCCUUGAACUCAGUCUAGAAAUUAUCUAGCCUCACACCACUGAUACUUAUACACACACUAAAACAAAUAAGGGUUUUCACAACGGUCGAAAACUAUUGCCAUAUAUCGAAAAACCGUUCCUAAAACUUUAAGUAAUGCUUUGGCAAUGGUUUUUGACCUGUGAUAUAUGCGGCCGUUGCCAAUGCUCAUCGGCAACGGUUUUUACCUAAGGCAACGACAACUAAAAAAAUCGUUGCCAUAGUUAUUAGCAUAGACAAUUGUUUUGACAACAGUUUAGAACCGUUACUGGAUAGGCAACAGUUUAGAACCGUUCUCUUUCACGACGUAGGUUUAAAACCAUAAUGGUAUAGGCAACGGUUUUAAGCUGUUGUAGUUUUGUUAUUCACAAAGACAAUGGUUUAAAAGCGUUGCCUUUGGUGUUGUAUUUUUUGCUAUGAUUUUCAUAUUGUUGCCAUU